CGACGAAGAGGAUGAAAGCAAAUUAAAGGAUGUGUGAUCAUCAAUGAUCAAAACUAUCCUCGCUACGUUCUUUCUGAUUCGUCU